GACGAACGCUGGCGGCGUGCUUAACACAUGCAAGUCGAGCGGUAAGGCCCUUUCGGGGGGUACACGAGCGGCGAACGGGUGAGUAACACGUGGGUGACCUGCCCUCAGCUCUGGGAUAAGCCUGGGAAACCGGGUCUAAUACUGGAUAUGACUCCAUGACGCAUGUUGUGGGGUGGAAAGCCUUGUGCGGCUGAGGAUGGGCCCGCGGCCUAUCAGCUUGUUGGUGGGGUGANGGCCUACCAAGGCGACGACGGGUAGCCGGCCUGAGAGGGCGACCGGCCACACUGGGACUGAGACACGGCCCAGACUCCUACGGGAGGCAGCAGUGGGGGAUCUUGCGCAAUGGGCGAAAGCCUGACGCAGCGACGCCGCGUGAGGGAUGACGGCCUGGU
rnacentral:rRNA from 1 species